rnacentral:rRNA from 1 species
AACGAACGCUGGCGGCGUACCUAACACAUGCAAGUCGAACGAGAAAUUCCGAUUCGUCGGGAGAGUAAAGUGGCGAACGGGUGAGUAACACUAGGGUAAUCUACCUUUAAGCAAGGGAUAACGUUGCGAAAGCGGCGCUAAUACCUUAUAAGACUACGAUCUCCUAGGAGAUUGCAGGAAAAGAUGGCCUCUGUUUCAAGCUAUUGCUUAAAGAUGAACCCUAGCACUAUUAGCUAGUUGGUGAGGUAAUGGCUCACCAAGGCGACGAUGGUUAGCUGGUCUGAGAGGAUGGCCAGCCACACUGGAACUGAGACACGGUCCAGGCUCCUACGGGAGGCAGCAGUGAGGAAUAUUGCGCAAUGGGGGCAACCCUGACGCAGUGACGCCGCGUGAGUGAUGAAGGCUUUCGAGUCGUAAAGCUCUGUUAGGUGGAAAGAAACAUUCCAGCGCUAAUAUCGCUGGGACUUGACGGUACCACCAGAGGAAGCACCGGCUAACUCCGUGCCAGCAGCCGCGGUAAUACGGAGGGUGCAAGCGUUGUUCGGAUUUACUGGGCGUAAAGGGCGUGUAGGCGGUUGGCUAAGUCAGAUGUGAAAUCCCUUAGCUUAACUAAGGAAGUGCAUUUGAAACUAGCUAACUAGAGUACAGGAGAGGAAAGUGGAAUUCCCAGUGUAGAGG